CGGGGUUAAUGGUGUAAGGAACACCAGUCGAUUGUAGUAAUCAUCUCGUCCUGUUUCAGCAUUUAAGCCCUUAUGAUGUUUAAGUAAUGAGAUCGGAUUUUUUUUUUUUUUACGCCGGCGUACGGGGCGUCCGUUUCCCUUCCGCGCGAGACGGUAAUAUCCGAGCGUAAUGAGGCUUUACUCUCGACCUCCAGGUGAGAGAGGAUUCACUAAAUAAAGAACAGACACGCUUUGAACUCGCUCAGACGUGCACGCUGAAUUAUUAAAAGAACAUAAGAGAAAGUUUUUGGUGAAUUGGGUCAGUGUGUUAGCGCUCAGGGCUUCAGAGCACCUCGUUCUGAUGCUACAGGGCUGCUUGGACGUCUGUCUCGCGCGCCAAGGACGCUGUCAGAGACACAAGCCUUAAUGAGCACAGAGGUGACUUUACUUACGGGACACGGCGACGGAGGAAUUCAUCAAACAGGAAGGCGGUUGUUAAAAAGAGACGUCUUCGCAUUACACAUUGGAGCAAAAUAUUGUGGGGAAAAAAAGUAACAGCAAUCGAAAUCGUUAAUCAUUACGAUACAAUAAACGCUUAUUUAAUGUUCUUUCUAUCCUGUGAUCUCAUCAAACAGCAGAGCAUCAACAUUCCAGGAAAAGCAGCUGAAAGUUCAAGUUCAAUACAAAAAUGUUGUGUUUGGUGACAGUGGGCGGGAACUGUGCUCUGAUUGGUUACACUGGCAUUUUAUCACUGUGCUCUGACUGGUUACAUUGGUGUGUUGUGGGCGGGAACUGUGCUCUGAUCAGUUACAGUGGUGUUUUAUGGGUGGGAACUGUGCUCUGAUUGGUUACAGUGCCAUGCUGUGGGCAUGAACUGUGCUCUGAUUGGUUCCAGAAUCAUUUGAUAAAUAUUUUUCUUGCUAAUGUUAAUAUCACGGCAUUUCAUUCUGAAUUGUUAGCAUUUUCACACAUUCUCAAGUCCUUCAUGUUUGUUCCCGGGGAAAGGACACAUGCGUCGCCGUUUAUCCAAAAACAAGGCUUCCUACAGGACAGCUGGAGAGAUCAGUGUGAUUUCCUUUAAAAAAAACUGUAAAAGCCAUCGUGGAGUAUUAAGGUGUCUUAAUGUAUCCGUGGUGGUGGUGGUGGUGGUGGUGGUGGUAAUCUGUGUGUUAAACACUGUGUUGUAGAUAAUCGUGUCAGGACACGUCAGAUAAUGCAGAGCACGCCCUUCUGUUUGCCUGACAUGUCCUUUCACUCACAAACCUGAAACGUACAUUCACGCAAACACGUGGGCGAAUGGCGUGUGUGUGUGUGUGUGUGUGUGUGUGUGUGUGUGUGUGUGUGCAUCUUUCCCACACACACUCAGAAUUUUCAUCAACUUCAGAUCAGAAACAGAGCACAAGGCUCCUAAUGCCUGGUGGGAAAAUCUGGUUUAUAACAUAAUAUUGUCUCUCUCUCUCUCCCUCUGUCUCUCUCUCUCCCUCUGUCUCUCUCCCUCUCUCUCUCCCUCUGUCUCUCUCUCUCUCUCUCUCUCUCUCUCUCUCCUAAGUGUUUGAUUUAUGUUAAGUGCUGUUUUCGUGCACUAACCACUAAUUAGCUGAUUAAAUAAUUAAACAGAAGCCUGUUGUUGAUUUAGUGAAUGAGCUGUGAUGGUGCAGAGCCUGGUUCUGCUGGUAAAGUUGAUCAUACUUGUUUGUGUUUGUACUAGCGUUAGCGUUUGUUAUGCAGCUCAACAUUUCCCAAAUGCUCUGAAAGCUUCCGAGUGGUUGAAAUCUCUACUCGCUCCUCUUUAUUCUGUCUGAGCUGUGACCUCACUGACGGAGAAGGGAAAAAACCUCUGAGACCUCCGCUGAGAAAGCGAGAGUCGCCAUGAACCGGAGACCGUUACACCCUGAGGAGACGCUAAGCAUGUCACCUUUAACUAUGAAACUUCAGUCAGCAACAGAAAACAGACUGCUAAUGAUACACGAAAGAAAGAAAGAAAUAUAAGAACUACAAAAGGAAACAAUAGACAGAGGGAGAAGCCGAACGGAUGGAAGAAAAGGAAAGAGAAAAAGGAAUGAUUUAUAAAAAGAUAGAAAUAAAACUACAUCGGAAAAACUAGAACAAUCAAAGGAAAGAAAGAAAGAAAGUAAGAAUUGAUUGGGGAAAGGACGAGGAAAGAAGACAGAAAUGAAAAAAUCAGAAGAAGGAAUAGUGAAUGGAUGGAUGGAGGGAUGAAAAGCAAAACGUCAAGAAUACAGAAUGGAAAGAAAGACAGAAAAGCAACAAGAAAAGCCAGAAGAAGGAAGAGAGAAAAGAAAAAUGAACGAGAAAGAAAUUUUUUGAAUUGUAGAUAAACUGAAUGAAAGAAAAAU
ensembl:lncRNA